CAAGUCGAGCGAGAUUUUUUCUUGUAGCAAUACAGGGAAAAGUCUAGCGGCGAACGGGUGCUUAACACGUGGGCAACCUGCCAAGAAGUGGGGGAUAGCUCGCCGAAAGGCGAAUUAAUACCGCAUGUGAUCAGAGUGGACAUCCAUUCGAAAUCAAAGUCGGGGCAACCUGACGCUUCUUGAGGGGCCCGCGGCCUAUCAGCUAGUUGGUGAGGUAACGGCCCACCAAGGCUUAGACGGGUAGCUGGUCUGAGAGGACGACCAGCCACACUGGGACUGAGACACGGCCCAGACACCUACGGGUGGCAGCAGUCGAGAAUUUUUCUCAAUGGGGGAAACCCUGAAGGAGCGACGCCGCGUGGAGGAUGAAUGUCUUCGGAUUGUAAACUCCUGUCAUUGGGGAACAAUGCGCAAAUAUUAACUGUAUUUGCGUUGAUAGUACCCGAAGAGGAAGAGACGGCUAACUCUGUGCCAGCAGCCGCGGUAAUACAGAGGUCUCAAGCGUUGUUCGGAUUCAUUGGGCGUAAAGGGUGCGUAGGCGGCGCGGUAAGUCGGGUGUGAAAUCUCGGAGCUUAACUCCGAAACUGCAUUCGAUACUGCCGUGCUUGAGGACUGGAGAGGAGACUGGAAUUUACGGUGUAGCGGUGAAAUGCGUAGAUAUCGUAAGGAAGACCAGUGGCGAAGGCGGGUCUCUGGACAGUUCCUGACGCUGAGGCACGAAGGCCAGGGGAGCAAACGGGAUUAGAUACCCCGGUAGUCCUGGCAGUAAACGGUGCACGUUUGGUGUGGGGAGGAUUCGACCCCUUCUGCGCCGGAACUAACGCGUUAAACGUGCCGCCUGGGGGAGUACGGUCGCAAGAUUAAACUCAAGAAAUUGACGGGGGCCGCACAAGC
rnacentral:rRNA from 1 species